GCAUUCGGGGUGUAACGGUAGCGCACUCGGCGCGUGAGCGAGAGGUCCAGGUUCGAAUCCCGGCGAGGGUA
rfam:Stegodyphus mimosarum contig90828, whole genome shotgun sequence.